rnacentral:rRNA from 1 species
CCUACGGGUGGCUGCAGUGGGGAAUAUUGGACAAUGGGCGAAAGCCUGAUCCAGCCAUGCCGCGUGUGUGAAGAAGGCCUUCGGGUUGUAAAGCACUUUCAGUGGGGAAGAAAGCCUUGGGGCUAAUACCCUCGAGGAAGGACAUCACCCACAGAAGAAGCACCGGCUAACUCCGUGCCAAGCAGCCGCGGUAAUACGGAGGGUGCGAGCGUUAAUCGGAAUUACUGGGCGUAAAGCGCGCGUAGGCGGUCUGAUAAGCCGGUUGUGAAAGCCCCGGGCUCAACCUGGGAACGGCAUCCGGAACUGUCAGGCUAGAGUGCAGGAGAGGAAGGUAGAAUUCCCGGUGUAGCGGUGAAAUGCGUAGAGAUCGGGAGGAAUACCAGUGGCGAAGGCGGCCUUCUGGACUGACACUGACGCUGAGGUGCGAAAGCGUGGGUAGCAAACAGGAUUAGAUACCCCGGUAGUC